UACGUAGGGUGCAGGCGUUAAUCGGAAUUACUGGGCGUAAAGCGUGCGCAGGCGGUUGUGCAAGACAGAUGUGAAAUCCCCGGGCUUAACCUGGGAACUGCAUUUGUGACUGCACGGCUAGAGUGUGUCAGAGGGGGGGUAGAAUUCCACGUGUAGCAGUGAAAUGCGUAGAUAUGUGGAGGAAUACCGAUGGCGAAGGCCAGCCCCCUGGGAUAACACUGACGCUCAUGCACGAAAGCGUGGGGAGCAAACAGG
rnacentral:rRNA from 1 species